AUUGUACUCCCUCCGUCCCAAAAUUCUUGUCUUAGAUUUGUUUAAAUACGGAUGUAUCAAGUCAUGUUUUAGUAUUAAAUACAUCCGUAUCUAGACAAAUCUAAGACAAGAAUUUUGGGACGGAGGGAGUAGUUG
rnacentral:pre_miRNA from 1 species